GUUUUACUUCUUCCUUUCUAAUCUUUAUACCUUUUAUUUCUUUUUCUUGCCUUAUUGCACGGCCAGGACCUUCAGUACAAAAAGAAGUGACAAUAGGGAUGCCCCAUUCGCACCCUCCCAGACCUCCUUCGCCAACCAGAAGAGAAGCAGUAGCACUGACUUUUGUUGACACUUAAACACGCUAGGAACUGGGGUACAAAAAUGAAGAUUCGAAGAUGCAUGUUUCCUGCUCUCAAGGAUCUUCAAAGAUAGAUUUGUCUUAUGUAACAGUUAUGGAGUCCAUUAACAUGAAGCACUAAAGCACAAAAAAGAAAUGAAAGAGAUUUAUAAGCAUAUGAAAUGCCCUCACCAGAGACAGUUGAAAUAAUAAAUCCUAAGUCAAAGGAACAUUUGUGAAGUUACUACAAGCAGAUUUAUCUACUUCAAAACAUGUUUUGUGGGACUGAAUCAUACCAUCUAUUAUGCUUAAUUUAAAAGGUAAAAUAUACAAAUUGACUCUCAUUUAUUGGUUUAACGAUACCUCACUGUAUUAAAGGAAACGUUACUAUUGUAGAAGAGAGAAAUCUCACUUUAAAUACUUCUCUGUCAUUUGCAUUCUUGGGGAUAGAAAUUGCCUUAAUGAUUUUUCUUUAAAAAUUGGAAAUUUGGGAAAGCUUAAAAUAUUUGUAUUUUUAAGUGACGUUAAAAGACUUCCAGCACUACUGUUUCACAAAAAUACCCAGUUAUGAGCCCAAGCGCUGGUAGCAACAGUGGUAGCAACUUUUCCUUGGCUGCAACUUGAGAUAUAAUUAGCAUCUUCAGAAACAACAUCAUCCCCCCCACCAAAAAAGAAAGUUGACAAAGUAAAAUGGUGGCAUCUAUUUCCUCGUUAAAACAUCAGAUUGACAAAGUCCAUGUACUACUCUGUUUCAAAAAGUUCCAGCUCUUUUAAACACUGGCAUUCUUAUCAUUUUGUGCGUUCAGUGCUGGUCACUGGCUAACAGUGUCUGCAUGGAUUUCUCCUUGAAUAUCUUUCUUCCAUCAACUGAUAAGCCAGUCUCUCCUAGGAUUUCUGGUCAAGAGCACUGCUCAAAAAAGAAAGCUGGUAGUACAUAUUUGAAAUUGUUGCAGACAACAUUCCUUCUCUUCUUGUUCAGUUUGUUUGUUUCUAUUUGAAGGUAAGUCUAAAGGCUACUUACUGAGCUUUCAGGUUGAGAUGGCCCCGGCACCAGAGUGGGAGUUUAAUAUGCUUUCCUUGGAGAAGAAAGACACUGACAUUGUAAAUCUAGCCUGUAUUUGCUGUCGUAGGGCUAAUCCCUGGCCAUAAAAUUAGAGUCAAAUAUAAAAUAAACGGCAAGCCACUGUUUUCACAUCAAUCUAUACAAACAAGCUAAUGUAUUAUUUUAGGAGUGAAAACAAAAUUCUUAAUUGCUCCCUAAACAUGUGGUAAAAUUCCUGU